rnacentral:rRNA from 1 species
CCAAGGAGUCUAACAUGUGCGCGAGUCGCAGGGCUCUACGAAACCCGAAGGCGUAAUGAAAGUGAAGGUCGGUCUUGCAUCGGCUAAGGCGAGAUCUAGCGUCCAUCGGUGACGUUAGCGCAUCGCCGGCCCGUCUUAGUUUCCGCGUAAACGAGGCGGAGCACGAGCGUACACGUUGGGACCCGAAAGAUGGUGAACUAUGCUUGAGUAGGACGAAGUCAGAGGAAACUCUGAUGGAGGUCCGUAGCGAUUCUGACGUGCAAAUCGAUCGUCAAACUUGAGUAUAGGGGCGAAAGACUAAUCGAACCAUCUA